GUGAAUGAUGACCACUCCAUCCCACCGAGCGGUGACGAGUGCACGUCAGGCUGACA
rnacentral:snoRNA from 1 species